GAGUGAAAUGAUGCUUCAUCUUUCGGGACUUACCCAACAAUGGGGACAAUUUUACAACCACUGAUCACUC
ensembl:snoRNA SNORD2 small nucleolar RNA SNORD2